CCCUUAGAUGUUCUGGGCCGCACGCGCGCUACACUGACGAAUGCAACGAGCUUAUAACCUUGGCCGAAAGGUCUGGGUAAUCUCCAAAUUUCGUCGUGAUGGGGAUAGAUUAUUGCAAUUAUUAAUCUUCAACGAGGAAUGCCUAGUAAGCGCAAGUCAUCAGCUUGCGUUGAUUACGUCCCUGCCCUUUGUACACACCGCCCGUCGCUCCUACCGAUUGAGUGGUCCGGUGAGGCUUUGGGAUCUGAGCGGAAAGAGCGUUUCGCUGUUUCUGCUCGGAAAACUCAGUCGAACCUUAUCAUUUAGAGGAAGGAGAAGUCGUAACA
rnacentral:rRNA from 1 species